GUGGGGAAUCUUGCGCAAUGGGCGAAAGCCUGACGCAGCCAUGCCGCGUGAAUGAUGAAGGUCUUAGGAUUGUAAAAUUCUUUCACCGGGGACGAUAAUGACGGUACCCGGAGAAGAAGCCCCGGCUAACUUCGUGCCAGCAGCCGCGGUAAUACGAAGGGGGCUAGCGUUGCUCGGAAUUACUGGGCGUAAAGGGCGCGUAGGCGGACAGUUUAGUCAGAGGUGAAAGCCCAGGGCUCAACCUUGGAAUUGCCUUUGAUACUGGCUGUCUGGAGUACGGGAGAGGUGAGUGGAACUCCGAGUGUAGAGGUGAAAUUCGUAGAUAUUCGGAAGAACACCAGUGGCGAAGGCGACUCACUGGCCCGUUACUGACGCUGAGGCGCGAGAGCGUGGGGAGCAAACAGGAUUAGAUACCCCAGUAGUCC
rnacentral:rRNA from 1 species